rnacentral:rRNA from 1 species
AACGAACGCUGGCGGCAGGCUUAACACAUGCAAGUCGAACGCCCCGCAAGGGGGGUGGCAGACGGGUGAGUAACGCGUGGGAAUCUACCGUACCCUACGGAACAACAGUUGGAAACGACUGCUAAUACCGUAUACGCCCUACGGGGGAAAGAUUUAUCGGGGUAUGAUGAGCCCGCGUUGGAUUAGCUAGUUGGUGGGGUAAAGGCCUACCAAGGCGACGAUCCAUAGCUGGUCUGAGAGGAUGAUCAGCCACAUUGGGACUGAGACACGGCCCAAACUCCUACGGGAGGCAGCAGUGGGGGAUAUUGGACAAUGGGCGCAAGCCUGAUCCAGCCAUGCCGCGUGAGUGAUGAAGGUCUUAGGAUUGUAAAGCUCUUUCACCGAUGAAGAUAAUGACGGUAGUCGGAGAAGAAGCCCCGGCUAACUUCGUGCCAGCAGCCGCCGUAA